rnacentral:rRNA from 1 species
UCAGGACUCGACUCUUGCACAUCUACGUCUUAGGUUUGCGCCAAUUCGUGGUAAGCUUGGGUCAAAGAGCUUAUAGGUGUUAUAAAGACUCGCUGGUGUUUGUCUCCUUGAGGCAUACGGCUUAACCAAAACUCUCAAAGUUUGACCUCAAAUCAGGUAGGAAUACCCGCUGAACUUAAGCAUAUCUAAUAAGCGGAGGAAAAGAAACCAACCGGGAUUGCCUUAGUAACGGCGAGUGAAGCGGCAAAAGCUCAAAUUUGAAAUCUGGCGUCUUCGACGUCCGAGUUGUAAUUUGAAGAAGGUUACUUUGUAGCUGGUCCUUGUUUAUGUUCCUUGGAACAGGACGUCAUAGAGGGUGAGAAUCCCGUGUGGCGAGGAUACCAGUUAUAUGUAAAGUACUUUCGACGAGUCGAGUUGUUUGGGAAUGCAGCUCUAAGUGGGUGGUAAAUUCCAUCUAAAGCUAAAUAUUGGCGAGAGACCGAUAGCGAACAAGUACAGUGAUGGAAAGAUGAAAAGAACUUUGAAAAGAGAGUGAAAAAGUACGUGAAAUUGUUGAAAGGGAAGGGCAUUUGAUCAGACAUGGCGUUUGCUUCGGCUUUCGCUGGGCCAGCAUCAGUUUUGGCGGCUGGAUAAAUCCUCGGGAAUGUGGCUCUACCGUGGUAGAGUGUUAUAGCCCGUGGGAAUACAGCCAGCUGGGACUGAGGAUUGCGACUUUUGUCAAGGAUGCUGGCGUAAUGGGUAAUCCGG